AACUUUCUCACAAAAGGAUUUUUUUUAGCCCUAUCAACAACCCCAACAGCCCCAUUUACCUCAAGUGGGAGGAGAGGGGUCUCUUGGUGGAUUGGGGAGUAUGGGAGGUCUCUUAUCAAAUUUGGCUGGGCAGAUCCUUCACAACCCAAAGGGCAAUUAAUAAUGAAAAUAAUUUGCACCAUGCAAUACAGAACGUACCUAUUCUACCAAAAGCAAUGCCUUAAAAAGUAAAUAAAAUAUUAUUGGACAACUAAUAUCGUAUAAUACUCGUUACAUGUCAAAUAUUUAUGGAUUGGAUUAAUUUAAGCUUAAUUAGGUGCAUUUAACUAACACUGAGCAAAUGAUUAGACAAACUAAUCUCGAAUUUUUAUUGUUGGCCUUCUUGAAUCUCAAUAAAUACUUCUAUAUAUUGUUCA